rnacentral:lncRNA from 1 species
AUUGAUACCCAGCAAGCCAUCAUUUGCUACAUCUGUGGCUGGAACCAUGGGUCCCUCCAUGUGUGCUCCUUGGUUGGUGGUUUAGACACUGGGAGUCUGGUUAGUUGGUAUUGUUUUUCUUAUGGGGUUGAAAACCCCUUCAGUUUUAUUCUUAGAUAUAUGAACCGAAUGUUCAUGGAUAAGUUGAACUUUCAAAGGUAAAUAGCAUUCUACCCUAACUUUAUCAAACAUUAAACAAAAAUGAAGAAACCAAGGAAAUACAGCUGUUGGUCUUUGGCCUUUCUUUGGAAACCCUGGCCUUCCAGAGCAAUAUGGUUAGGAUGUGAAGAUGGUUUCAGUCAUGAACUUUGGGGAAGUUUUUCUUUCUUCUCAGGAGACAUACGAUGGGCUUGAAUACAGAACCUAAAAAUAAUGAAAAAUGAUAAGACCCCUGUCAGGGAUGCAAGUUUAACAACGAUGUUCUGGGUUAAGAUUAUUUAAGGAUGGUUUGCCACAUGAAUCUAUAGGUAAAGCUUCUUGCCCUCAAGGCUGAUGGCUUGAUUUCAGUCUGUGGGUUCCACCAGGUGGAAGGAACCAUUACCUUGAAGUUGCCCUCUGACUAGCACAUACUUGCUAUGGAAUAUGUGCUCAUUGUACAUAUAUGUGCACAAAUGCACAAAGCAAAGAACAACAACAAAAAAAAUCAAUGCAUUGAAAUCAUGACCUGAGGUCUUUUACCAUGCUCUUUAGUGUGCAAUCCUUAAAGUGUGUCCCACCUCUCUUUUAUGUUUAGAUUCACUCUGAAUUUUAAGUGUUCUAUGAUGAAGAGCUCACACUAGUGUUUACUCUAACAUGACUCUACCCUACACCCUCAUACCAUAUACAUCAAUGUUAGAGGCUUAUUUUUAUUUAUCUCCAAUGUCCUCAUACCAACAUUUCCUCUGAGGAAAGACACCAGGAUGUAAAGCAUGAUGGGAACAAAUCUGUGGUUGUGAUACCUCUGAAUGGGAAACCUGGAACCAAGAGAUUGGAAGGUAGAGAGGUGUAAGUGGAUGGUUUCUAUAAAGGAACUGUUAAAGGAUGUGAGAGAUUUGGUUCUGGAGAAUUUACUGGGGAAAGGAAUUCUGGCCGUAUUCUUGGCAUAUGGCCAAGAAUUCAUUUGCAAGCUCUGAAAUUAACCAAUGCUCUCAUAUGCAAGAAAGAGCAAAUAGACACCUAUUUGGUCAUCACCAUUGAGAGUACCAGAGAAGACUUGGACAUAACUUCUGAUUAGUAUCAAUUAUAAGCUACACUUG